CAGUGCGGUGGCUGGCCGGGGAGGAAGGGGUGGGCCGGAGUCUAGAACAGAGAGAGGUGGGGCGCGCUGGCGACUCUGAGGCGGCUAGGCUGGGGGCGCCCUAGAGUGCAGCCCCGAACUGCCGCCCCCUCUGGAGUCUGGCCCCUAGCGGCUGAGAUGCUUCUCACCAAGGGGCGCUCCGAGUAAGUCAUAGAGCUCUUCCCUGCCGACCCAACUUUACUCAACUUUGAUCUUCAAAAACAUCUAGGAUAUGUAUUGAUAUAAUGCAGUAUGUGAUUGGUUUGUGUGUGUGUGUGUCCCAAAUACAAGCAAACUAAUAAUGUUAGUAAGUUUCAGAAUAGGGAAAGUUCGCAUGUUGAGUCAUGUGGUGGUUUUCUUUUAAGGUUUAAAUUUGGAUAACAUGCUAGUGCUUACGAGAUUUUACCAAAAACGUUCUUUUAUUGAGCUUUGCUGCUGUGGAGUUGUCAUGAUGAAACACGAAGAUGCCAGAAUUGUACCUCAAGAUAAGGCUUUAAUUGCCAGAAGGUUCUGAAAGUGCAACAGUAGGUCUGCUGGGGUCUUGGCACAGUACCACAUGGACCUGGACAAAAGCAUUGUUAAGAAUUUAUAUCAGGGCUUCCCUGGUGGCACAGUGGUUAAGAAUCCGCCUGCCAAUGCAGGGGACACGGGUUCGAGCCCUGGUCCGGGAAGAUCCGACAUGCUGCGGAGCAGCUAAGCCCAUGCGCCACAACUGCUGAGCCUGCGCCCUAGAGCCCGAGAGCCACAACUACUGAACCCACGAGCCUAGAGCCCGUGCUCCGCAACAAGAGAAGCCACUGCCAUGAGAAACCCGCGCACUGCAACGAAGAGUAGCCCCCGCUCACCGCAACUAGAGAAAGCCCGCGUGCAGCAACG